rnacentral:misc_RNA from 1 species
AAGGAUCAUUAAUGAAUUAUAAGGGUGCUCUCUCUCAUCAGAGAGGCCCGAACUCUUCAUUCUUCUACACUGUGCACCUUUUAAAAUAAGAAUUCUUCCGAGUGUGUGAUUCCCUUAGGAUCUAACACAACGAGUCUUCUUCCAUUUUCAAAACUCUAAAGUCAAAGAAUGAAUACAAAAUACAAAAUAAAGAAAAACUUUCAACAACGGAUCUCUUGGCUCUC